rnacentral:rRNA from 1 species
GACGAACGCUGGCGGCGUGCUUAACACAUGCAAGUCGAACGAUGAAGCUAGAGCUUGCUCUGGUGAAUUAGUGGCGAACGGGUGAGUAACACGUGAGUAACCUGCCCCGAACUCUGGGAUAACUGCUGGAAACGGUAGCUAAUACUGGAUACGACCUACGAAGGCAUCUUCUGUAGGUGGAAAGAAUUUCGGUUCGGGAUGGACUCGCGGCCUAUCAGCUUGUUGGUGAGGUAAUGGCUCACCAAGGCGACGACGGGUAGCCGGCCUGGGAGGGUGACCGGCCACACUGGGACUGAGACACGUCCCAGACUCCUACGGGAGGCAGCAGUGGGGAAUAUUGCACAAUGGGCGCAAGCCUGAUGCAGCAACGCCGCGUGAGGGAUGACGGCCUUCGGGUUGUAAACCUCUUUUAGUAGGGAAGAAGCGAAAGUGACGGUACCUGCAGAAAAAGCACCGGCUAACUACGUGCCAGCAGCCGCCGUAA